rnacentral:tRNA from 1 species
CAGGGAGACAACAAAAUGUAAAUAUUAAUUUUGUCACCUUAGGUCGAUCGGUAUCUCAGAUUCUUAUUUUUUAAGAAUUUCAGUUUCUAAGUUUUUUCUAGGUCACACCCAUCACUUUUUCCUGGGCCAUUAGCUCAGGUGGUUAGAGCGCACCCCUGAUAAGGGUGAGGUCCCUGGUUCAAGUCCAGGAUGGCCCAUAUCUCUAUGUUGGGGGUAUAGCUCAGUUGGUAGAGCGCCUGCUUUGCAAGCAGGAUGUCAGCGGUUCGAGUCCGCUUACCUCCACUGAAUACCACCUCUUACAUAUAUUUAAAGAGGGAAAUUGUUUUGAGUCGUGUCCUAUUUUGCUCUGAGCGAAUCUAGCUUCCUAUUUUAUUAAAUAAAUAAGAUGCUGGACUCAUUGAAUUUUUUUUCAUUGUUUUCAGAGAACCUUGACAACUGCAUAGAUUAUUUUUGAAGACAAUAAGCAUCUUUAAUGAUGCAGAUUUAUUAUUUGUGCGAAUGCAUUAAAUAACAAUUCUAUUAAGCUGAUGCUUCAAUUAUUGAAGUUAUU